rnacentral:rRNA from 1 species
GGACGUUAAGGUGCUCUGGUCGAGGAUAAACGACCCCUCUGACCGAGGUUAAGCGGUUGCUGUGUUACCUCUUUUCGAGGCACACGUUAAAGAUCGUUCCGCGUUGUGAGUCUAACACCAGUUGUAAACUUUUWCAACCGGCAGCGCUGGAUCCCUUGGCACGUCAUUCGAUGAAGACCGUUGCAAAUUGCGAUAAAGUGAUGUGAUGCGCAAGUCCACCACUUAUACGUGAAUCAUCGAGUUGUUGAACGCAUUGCACCGCGCCCUAAUCCGGCUGCGGUAUGCCCCUUUGAGCGUCAUUUAUUCCUUCGGGAGUCUUUCCUUGUGAAAGACCCGAGUUCGGAGUCCUCGGUCUUUGGAUCGUGUUCUCUCAGAUGCSUCGCGCCGAUCGCCUGAUGGGUACUCUAAUGCCUGAGCGUGGAGUCCCUCUGGAGUUGAGAUGCGCUUGACCGGCCGUUGGGCUCGUGUCACCAAGUCCGCGUCCUUUGGGAUGGCGGUACUACAACGCAUGACCUCAUUGGGGUAGGACAACCCGCUAGACUUAAGCAUAUUAAUC